UACGGGGGGGGCAAGCGUUGUUCGGAAUUACUGGGCGUAAAGGGCUCGUAGGCGGCCAACUAAGUCAGACGUGAAAUCCCUCGGCUUAACCGGGGAACUGCGUCUGAUACUGGAUGGCUUGAGGUUGGGAGAGGGAUGCGGAAUUCCAGGUGUAGCGGUGAAAUGCGUAGAUAUCUGGAGGAACACCGGUGGCGAAGGCGGCAUCCUGGACCAAUUCUGACGCUGAGGAGCGAAAGCCAGGGGAGCAAACAGG
rnacentral:rRNA from 1 species